UGGGGAAUAUUGCACAAUGGGCGCAAGCCUGAUGCAGCCAUGCCGCGUGUGUGAAGAAGGCCUUCGGGUUGUAAAGCACUUUCAGCGAGGAGGAAGGUGGUGAACUUAAUACGUUCAUCAAUUGACGUUACUCGCAGAAGAAGCACCGGCUAACUCCGUGCCAGCAGCCGCGGUAAUACGGAGGGUGCAAGCGUUAAUCGGAAUUACUGGGCGUAAAGCGCACGCAGGCGGUUUGUUAAGUCAGAUGUGAAAUCCCCGGGCUCAACCUGGGAACUGCAUUUGAAACUGGCAAGCUAGAGUCUCGUAGAGGGGGGUAGAAUUCCAGGUGUAGCGGUGAAAUGCGUAGAGAUCUGGAGGAAUACCGGUGGCGAAGGCGGCCCCCUGGACGAAGACUGACGCUCAGGUGCGAAAGCGUGGGGAGCAAAACAGGAUUAGAUACCCUGGUAGUCCACGCUGUAAAACGAUGUCGAUUUUGGAGGUUGUG
rnacentral:rRNA from 1 species